rnacentral:rRNA from 1 species
GGGAAUAACUCCGGGAAACCGGGGCUAAUACCGAAAAAAAUUGGAACCGCCAGGGUUUUGGUUUAAAAGGCGGCUCCGGCUGUCACUGCAGGAUGGGCCCCCGGCCCAUUACCUAGUUGGGGGGGUACCGGCUCACCAAGGCAACAAUCCGUACCCAACCUGAGAGGGUGAUCGGCCACCCGGGAACGGAAACACGGCCCAAACCCCAACGGGAGGCACCAUUAGGGAACCUUCCGCAUGGAACAAAGGUCGGACGGACCACCCCCCCGGGAGUGAAAAAGGUUUUCGAAUCGUAAAACUCUUUUGUCAGGAAAAAACAAUUACGGAAGUAACUGCCCGUACCUUGACGGUACCGGGCCAAAAGGCCACGGCUAACUACUUGCCACCACCCGCGGUAAUACGUAGGUGGCAAGCGUUGCCCGGAAUUAUGGGCCGUAAAGCGCGCGCAGGCGGCCUUUUAAUUCUAAGGUGAAACCCCCCGGCUCACCCGGGAAGGGU